GUGGGGAAUUUUGGACAAUGGGCGCAAGCCUGAUCCAGCAAUGCCGCGUGCAGGAAGAAGGCCUUCGGGUUGUAAACUGCUUUUGUACGGAACGAAACGGUCCGGGUUAAUACCCUGGGCUAAUGACGGUACCGUAAGAAUAAGCACCGGCUAACUACGUGCCAGCAGCCGCGGUAAUACGUAGGGUGCAAGCGUUAAUCGGAAUUACUGGGCGUAAAGCGUGCGCAGGCGGUUUUGUAAGACAGGCGUGAAAUCCCCGGGCUCAACCUGGGAAUUGCGCUUGUGACUGAAAGGCUGGAGUGCGGCAGAGGGGGAUGGAAUUCCGCGUUUAGCAGUGAAAUGCGUAGAUAUGCGGAGGAACACCGAUGGCGAAGGCAAUCCCCUGGGCCUGCACUGACGCUCAUGCACGAAAGCGUGGGGAGCAAACAGGAUUAGAAACCCCAGUAGUCC
rnacentral:rRNA from 1 species